rnacentral:rRNA from 1 species
UACGGGGGGAGCAAGCGUUGUUCGGAUUUACUGGGCGUAAAGGGCGCGUAGGCGGCCACCGCAAGUCGACUGUGAAAUCUCCGGGCUUAACCCGGAAAGGUCAGCCGAUACUGCGGGGCUAGAGUGCAGAAGGGGCAACUGGAAUUCUCGGUGUAGCGGUGAAAUGCGUAGAGAUCGGCAGGAACACCCAGGGGGAAACCAGCCGACUGGGCAUUUGCUGACGCUGAGGUGCGAGAGCGUGGGGAGCGAACCGG